AACCAUAACAGUUGCCUAAUCGACUUUAAGGCAGUGCUGCGACCGUUGACUUCACGGCACCUAACCAUAACCAUUGUCUAAUCCUAGUGCCUUUCAGGCAGCACAGCCUGGAAGGAGAUGUUGGGGGCUCCAAUACGCUGGUAAACGAAAUGUUCUUC